rnacentral:tRNA from 1 species
UCCCUAGUGGCUCAGAUGGUAAAGCGCGUGUCUGCAAUGCAGGAGACCCAGGUUCGAUCCCUGGGUUGGAAA